rnacentral:rRNA from 1 species
AUGCAUCACCUUGAUCUGCAGGAUGAGGAGCUAGAUGAUGUGAUUGUGGGGGAGGAAGUGGUGAAAAAGUUUGAGGCAGAGGUGCGUUGGAUGGCUAUCAGGAAGCUGCAUACGUCGCGACCCUUUAGUUCCACUGCUAUGUUCGAGACUGUCAAGUCGGUUUGGGGCCUAGCUAAUGUGCCGAAAUUCAGAGAAGCGUGGGACAACUUGUUCGUGUUUUAGAUGUAUUGCUUGGGCGACUAGAAGAAGGUCGUUCAUGGCAGUCCGUGGCUGUUCAAGGGGAUGGGCCUCUUAAUUGAGGAUUACGAUGGCAAGACGGAACCAACCUCGGUGGGCUUCGAUGGCCUCUAUGUCUGGGCUCAGAUCCAUAGUAUCCCGGAGCUGUACCGCAAGGCCGAAGUGGUGGACCAAUUGGCUCGCCAGAUCGGGAGAGUGAAGGAAAUCCAACUCGCCCCAAAGCUAUACUAUGAGGGGGAUUAUGUCAGAGUCCGAGCGAGAGUUCAGGUUCACAAGCCGCUUACUAGAGUCACGCCAUUGAAUGUUACAGGCGAGGGGCGUCAUUUUCUACCAGUGAAGUAUGAGAAGAUUCCAUAUUUUUGUCAGGUUUGCGGACAUAUGGGGCAUAAUCAUGAGGAAUGUGGGGAUGGAGUCUAG